AUCAUAUUGAGUUACUGUUGGUUGUUGUUGUUGUUGUUGUUGUUGUUGUCGAAGUUUAGCCGCAGGUCAGCAGCCCUGGUUCAGCAGGCCACAAUGAUCAACGGCGUUCCAGAAAUGACCAGCCCAUCGAUUAAGGAAUUUCUGCUUCUUUUGCAGACAAACUAUAAUGAGGAAACAGAGAAACAAAUCAAAGUCAACUAGAAGGUUUUUGGCCGUUCGAAUGUUGAUGAAAUCUUCUUGGAAAGUGUUGUUGCAGGUCAUGAAACCUGGAUGUACGUCUACGAUAUCGAAACACAAAAUGGCGGUCGUCGCAGUUGGUUAGUUUAUCGUCGCUUCUACCUAAACAGAACGCUGGCAACAUUCAAAGCUUUCUUUGAAUGAAGGACUAGUAUCCGAAACAUCAAGACCUUUUACCCCAUUUUAAGCGUUAAACAAAUGCGUUUGUUAAAAUUUGUUUCUCCGACAUUGUCUUCUUUCUGUGCUCAUUGGUAUACACAUACAUACUCACACACACACACACGCACACACACACACGCACACACACACAUACACACGCACACAAACACACACGCACACACACACAUAUAUAUGCACAUACGAACAUAUGUACAUACACACAUACGUUUUGUAUAGGAAAGGAAUGAAUAAAGACAAUAACAUGUAGCAGAGUAUAAUUAAAUUCUCAGAACUAAGACUUUAUUCACUAUUUCUGCGGUAUCAAGAAGAUGAAUAAGAGUUGCGACAGAACGAAUACACAGUUCCGAAUUAAUGCUUAUACAGAAAUAUAUAGAAUAUCAACGUUUUUAUCCUUACGCUGAAAGAUACAAAUCGUUUGUGAUUAAUGAUGUCCGCCAGAUAUAGCGAAACACGGACUUCAGAUUGAGACUGAAAUUCCUUUGCACACAAUAC